GAUGAACGCUGGCGGCGUGCCUAAUACAUGCAAGUCGAGCGAACGGACGAGAAGCUUGCUUCUCUGAUGUUAGCGGCGGACGGGUGAGUAACACGUGGAUAACCUACCUAUAAGACUGGGAUAACUUCGGGAAACCGGAGCUAAUACCGGAUCAUAUUUUGAACCGCAUGGUUCAAAAGUGAAAGACGGUCUUGCUGUCACUUAUAGAUGGAUCCGCGCUGCAUUAGCUAGUUGGUAAGGUAACGGCUUACCAAGGCAACGAUGCAUAGCCGACCUGAGAGGGUGAUCGGCCACACUGGAACUGAGACACGGUCCAGACUCCUACGGGAGGCAGCAGUAGGGAAUCUUCCGCAAUGGGCGAAAGCCUGACGGAGCAACGCCGCGUGAGUGAAGAAGGUCUUCGGAUCGUAAAACUCUGUUAUUAGGGAAGAACAUAUGUGUAAGUAACUGUGCACAUCUUGACGGUACCUAAUCAGAAAGCCACGGCUAACUACGUG
rnacentral:rRNA from 1 species